rnacentral:rRNA from 1 species
GACGAACGCUGGCGGCGUGCUUAACACAUGCAAGUCGAACGGAAAGGCCCUGCUUUUGUGGGGUGCUCGAGUGGCGAACGGGUGAGUAACACGUGAGUAACCUGCCCUUGACUUUGGGAUAACUUCAGGAAACUGGGGCUAAUACCGGAUAGGAGCUCCUGCUGCAUGGUGGGGGUUGGAAAGUUUCGGCGGUUGGGGAUGGACUCGCGGCUUAUCAGCUUGUUGGUGGGGUAGUGGCUUACCAAGGGUUUGACGGGUAGCCGGCCUGAGAGGGUGACCGGCGACAAGGGGACUAAGAGACGGCCCAGAAUGCUACGGGAGGCAGCAGUGGGGAAUAUUACACAAUGGGCGGAAGCCUGAGGCAGCAGCGCCGCGUGCGGGAUGACGGCUUUCGGGUGGUAAACAGCUGUCGCCGGUGACGAAGCGUGAGUGACGGUAAUGGGUAAAGAAGCACCGGCUAACUACGUG